AGAAGACCUUGUAUUCUGAAUCCAUGAGGCAAAGCACUUUUUCACCACUCUUCUGCGGUACUUCAAAUUUCAAGAAUUGGAAGGCAGAGGUGAAGCUUAGUGAGACAUCUGAAACACUACAUCCAGUUUUGAUAACCCAUUGUGAGGAGGACACCAAUAAAUUUGGACCAAUUCAGCUUAGGACCUCCAGCUGAACAGGCUGGAGCACUUGACCCUUUGCUCCAAAUCCCACUGAAAUCAGGUGGAGAGAAAUAGGGAUCAAAUAGUACAAAG